AUGGCCUUCUUCAAAUGGUUCAUCUUCGCCGCCGUCGUCGUUGUUGCCGCCGCUGAAUACGGAUCUUCCGGAUACGGACACGGAUCUUCCGGAUCUUCCGGAUCUUCUGGAUACGGUUCCUCUUCAUACGGUCACGGUUCUUCCGGAACUUCUGGAUACGGUUCCUCCUCAUACGGACACGGUUCUUCCGGAUACGGACAUGGAUCAUCCGGAUACGGAUCUUCUUCAUACGGACACGGCGAACCCGCCGUCUCCUACCAGAACGUGAACCUUUACCCACAACAACAACACGGCUACUCCGCUCCCAGCUACGGACACUCCGCCCCCAGCUACGGACACUCCGCUCCCAGCUACUCCUCUCAUGGAUCCAGCUACUCAGCUCCCAGCUACUCCUCUCAUGGAUCCAGCUACUCUGCUCCCAGCUACUCUCAUGGUUCCAGCUACUCUCAUGGCUCCAGCUACUAAGAGUGCACUUCAUCACAACCCAUCCAUCCACAUCCCUCUUAAUUUAUUUCACCCCCAUCCACUUCAAACAUUUUAAUUUAUUGAACCAUCCAAAAUUCAAAAAUAAAAAUCCGAAAGCUCAUACAACGUCUUUUUUAAUUUCUCUUACACGAAGAAAGCAUGAAACGAAAGUUCGUGCCUUUAAACUAAACAUUUAUGCAUAGGAAAACCGAAUGUUUUUUACCAUGCUGAGAGCUCGUUUUAGAGAAAAUAUUUGUGUCUGUAUUUUUAAAAAAACCAAAAAAAAGGAGAACAAACAAAAUAGAAUUGAUGCGCAUCUUUUAUACUUAGAGACAAUAUAUUUUAGAUGGAACUAACAAUCUAAGCAAUGUAAUGUAACGAAACAAAGGGUAACAUUUGAGGAUCAAAACUAUUUUUCGUCUGAUGGUGAUUAAUGAGCAACUUGUGGAGCAACGUACAAAUAAAAUUGUCCUCUUGAUAAAUGCCA
rnacentral:lncRNA from 1 species